rnacentral:rRNA from 1 species
GUAGGUGGCAAGCGUUGUCCGGAAUUAUUGGGCGUAAAGCGCGCGCAGGCGGUUCUUUAAGUCUGAUGUGAAAGCCCACGGCUCAACCGUGGAGGGUCAUUGGAAACUGGAGAACUUGAGUACAGAAGAGGAAAGCGGAAUUCCACGUGUAGCGGUGAAAUGCGUAGAGAUGUGGAGGACACCAGUGGCGAAGGCGGCUUUCUGGUCUGUAACUGACGCUGAGGCGCGAAAGCGUGGGGAGCAAACAGGAUUAGAUACCCUGGUAGUCCACGCCGUAAACGAUGAGUGCUAAGUGUUAGGGGGGUUUCCGCCCCCCUUAGUGCUGCAGCUAACGCAUUAAGCACUCCGCCUGGGAGUACGGCCGCAAGGCUG